rnacentral:rRNA from 1 species
UACAGAGGUCUCAAGCGUUGUUCGGAUUCAUUGGGCGUAAAGGGUGCGUAGGCGGCGCGGUAAGUCGGGUGUGAAAUCUCGGAGCUUAACUCCGAAACUGCAUUCGAUACUGCGUGGCUAGAGUACUGGAGAGGAGACUGGAAUUUACGGUGUAGCAGUGAAAUGCGUAGAUAUCGUAAGGAAGUCCAGUGGCGAAGGCGAGUCUCUGGACAGUAACUGACGCUGAGGCACGAAGGCCAGGGGAGCAAACGGG